UGCAAGUCGAACGGAUCCAGGGACUUCGGUUCCUGGGUUAGUGGCGCACGGGUGCGUAACGCGUAUGCAACCUACCUUCCACAGGGGGAUAGCCCGGGGAAACCCGGAUUAAUACCGCAUGACAUCGUUUGAGGGCAUCCGAAGACGAUCAAAGCUGAGGCGGUGGAAGAUGGGCAUGCGUGCCAUUAGCUAGUUGGCGGGGUAGAGGCCCACCAAGGCGACGAUGGCUAGGGGUUCUGAGAGGAUGGUCCCCCACACUGGUACUGAGACACGGACCAGACUCCUACGGGAGGCAGCAGUAGGGAAUAUUGGGCAAUGGCCGAGAGGCUGACCCAGCCAUGCCGCGUGCAGGAAGAAGGCCUUCUGGGUUGUAAACUGCUUUUACCAGGGAAGAAAACGCGCCUGCGGGCGUAACUGACGGUACCUGGUGAAUAAGCACCGGCUAACUCCGUGCCAGCAGCCGCGGUAAUACGGAGGGUGCAAGCGUUGUCCGGAUUUAUUGGGUUUAAAGGGUGCGUAGGCGGCCCGUUAAGUCAGCGGUGAAAUCCCGGGGCUCAACCCCGGAACUGCCGUUGAUACUGGCGGGCUUGAGUUCGGUCGAGGCGGGCGGAACUGGUGGUGUAGCGGUGAAAUGCAUAGAUACCACCAAGAACCCCGAUUGCGAAGGCAGCUCGCUGGGCCGAAACUGACGCUGAGGCACGAAAGCGUGGGGAGCGAACAGGAUUAGAUACCCUGGUAGUCCACGCCGUAAACGAUGAGUACUCGAUGUUUGCGAUACACGGCAAGCGUCCAAGCGAAAGCG
rnacentral:rRNA from 2 species